GCCUAACACAUGCAAGUCGAACGAAGGCUUCGGCCUUAGUGGCGCACGGGUGCGUAACGCGUGGGAAUCUGCCCUUGGGUUCGGAAUAACAGUUAGAAAUGACUGCUAAUACCGGAUGAUGACGAAAGUCCAAAGAUUUAUCGCCCAGGGAUGAGCCCGCGUAGGAUUAGGUAGUUGGUGGGGUAAAGGCCUACCAAGCCGACGAUCCUUAGCUGGUCUGAGAGGAUGAUCAGCCACACUGGGACUGAGACACGGCCCAGACUCCUACGGGAGGCAGCAGUGGGGAAUAUUGGACAAUGGGCGAAAGCCUGAUCCAGCAAUGCCGCGUGAGUGAUGAAGGCCUUAGGGUCGUAAAGCUCUUUUACCAGGGAUGAUAAUGACAGUACCUGGAGAAUAAGCUCCGGCUAACUCCGUGCCAGCAGCCGCGGUAAUACGGAGGGAGCUAGCGUUGUUCGGAAUUACUGGGCGUAAAGCGCACGUAGGCGGUUAUUCAAGUCAGAGGUGAAAGCCCGGGGCUCAACCCCGAAACUGCCUUUGAAACUAGAUGACUGGAAUCUUGGAGAGGUCAGUGGAAUUCCGAGUGUAGAGGUGAAAUUCGUAGAUAUUCGGAAGAACACCAGUGGCGAAGGCGACUGACUGGACAAGUAUUGACGCUGAGGUGCGAAAGCGUGGGGAGCAAACAGG
rnacentral:rRNA from 1 species